rnacentral:lncRNA from 1 species
CGCGGGCGUUGGCCCGACUGUGGCGCCGCCGCGCGCCCGUCUCCACACGCAGGGUGCCAUGGCCCGGGCCUGGCGCCGCGGGACGCUGGCCACGCAGCACGCCAGAGCAGACGACAUCCUCUGCAUGGGUGCUGCAGAAGUGAGGCAUCGACACUCAAAUGUGGGACUGUUGGUGUGUUGUGUCAUCUGGAGGAUGUCCCUUUGGCCCCGGUAAGGAUCAGAAACGUAGGCUGCCAGAUGGAAUAAGAGAGGCACAAGAAUCAGCUGUGGUGACCUCUCAGACUUGGACAACCCAGAUGGACUGGACUGCCUCUAGGAUCUGCUUGUUAGGCUGGAGCUUAAGCAAAUAGCAUUGCUGGAAUUUUCUGACUGCUGAAAACUAUUAUAAUCCACCUGGAAAUAAUACUAAAAUAUUCUUAAAAAUCCUGCUAAUAAGAAGACCUCUGCAUGUUCCUCCAAGUCUUAGCCAUUGAGGCAGCUGCCGAUAUUGGAUGCAUAUCAGAGGGGCCAGUGCCCAAGAGAGGAAAUGCAUGCGGCUAGGAUGCACCAUGGUCUGGUUCUGGCUCAAGGACCAAGAAAUGCUCACAGUGAGGCUCUCCUGCCAAGAGACAGAAAACAAGCCCCUGAAAAGGAGAAUUCAGACUCUGUGUCCCAGGUCUCCUUAGCACAAUAUCUACUAGGUGUGAUAAGCAGAAACAACACAAGUAACUCAGCAAGCAUUUUAAGGAUGUCCAAGGAAAUGAAUGCAAACAUGCAAAAAGAUUUGUAUGAGAUUUGAAGCAUCAGAAUUGCAGCAAAUAUUCCAGGAAAACAUACAUCGCACAGUCAAAACUCCAUGAAAACCACCCUAGGAAUGGACCUUUGGAUUGGGUUGAUGGGUGUAUUUUAGAGAAAGAGAUUCCAGA